UUCCUCUAUUAUCCUUUCAAUCUAACUUUCCUUUUUCGCAGGAAAAAAAAAAGUUCCAUCGCUCCAACAACAAUCAUCUUCGUCGCUCCAAUCACCACCGUCCCAAUCUCCUCCGCCACAAGCAGUACCACCACCUCCACCACUAUCUUCAAUCCGAACAUUUUAGUAGUAACUUAUUUUCAUUUGAGAAAGAGUUUUCGUCGGAAUAAUCGAGAGAGGGAUAAACUUUCACUUUAGUCGAAGAAUCAACUGAGAUCGAGAGAAAAUCAUUAUCAUCAACAGUUCAUCAUCAAGAUUCAGGAGAGAUCUCAUCUUAGGAUUUGAUUUCUGUUGCAGGUGUUAGAGAUACUAAUACUGUUGAUUGGUGAGUAGAAUUAGAGUUACGGCGCAGCAAGGAAUUUCAUUAAAAAUUAGGUGUUGGUGGCUGUUGUGGUUGCGUUGUUAAUGUGGUGGUGGAUGAUGUUAUUCUGGAGGUGAGGGUGGAGGUUGUCGUGGAGAUGCUGGUGGUGAUGUUUGAAGAUAUUUUUGUGAUGUAGUAAUUGUUGCUGUACAUUGCAAUAUAGGUGAUGGUACAUAGUCUCUAACUUGAUUGUCGACAAUGGGGAUUUGUAAUUCCAAUACAUUACUUUUAUGGUUCUGUUUCGUUGCUUCCACUGACUGCUGCAUGUGUUGGGAUCCGUAAUUCACAAACGGUAUCUUUAUGGUUCUAUUUUCGCUGCUUCCACUGACCCUUGCAUGUGCUGUAAGUAUUUCUUGAUUAAUUUUUCUUGAGAAGCUCAUUAUGUACCCUUUUUGUUGGACAAAACUUCUGCUAGUUGCCUCCAAAUUGGAGACAACUUGAACAAGUUGCCUUCACAUUUGGAGACAACUUGGGCCAGUUGCCUCCAGAUUUGGAGUCAAAUUGAGCUAGUUGCCUUCAUAUUUGGAGGCAACUAGCCCAUAGUUGCCUCCAUAUUUGGAUACUAUCUGGACUAGUUGAAGAAGUUUUGUAGGUAACAAGAAAAAAUGGGGAAAAAUAAAAAGAACUGAUACUUCAUUUGGGCCAGUAGAGAAGCAUAGAGGAUGGUUGGUGGUGGUAGUGGUUGAUUUAAUAAGAGAACUGAAACACCUUGGGCUAGUUGCCUCAAUUAUUUUUUGAUGUGUUUUUGGUAUGCAUUUUUCUUCCUUUUUGACGGGCCUUUUUAUCGUAUGUUUAUAUGUGGUUAGAAUUUUUUCUACUUCCGAAUACGGGGACUACUAAAGUUGAUGUUUACACUUUAUAGUUUCCUUCAGUAUGAGACGCCACUAGUGUCCUGAAUCCUUGAUUUCGGAGACAACUUGCAUAAGUUGUCUGGAAUUAUUAAAACAACUUGCACAAGUUGCUUCCAACUUUGAAUACAACUUGAACAACUUGCUUCUGAAAUGGUAUCAAGUCUUCUUUGGUAUUACUUUAUCAAGUCGCUAAGAAAUUUAUCCAGGCUGCAGAUAGUUCGCACCCGAAGGUAUCUCUUCUCUAAGGCUCAUUUGUGCGAUCAAGUGUAGAAGCGGAUCUGUAAACAAGCUUACAUGGAUACAUUAUAUCCAUUAGUCAUUGGAAAUAUGUAGUAGGUUCAGCAUAUAUGAGAUUGAGACAUUGUAUUCUUUCUGUAUAUUAAUUGUAUUAGGAGCAUAUGGAUUAUCUGCAUUGUCCUUACUAGUUGAGUUCCCUUCUCCCCUGUAACGAUUUGUGUUAAGGAUCUUUUUUUCCCUCUAAAUGAAGUGUAUCAAGGAUAUAUGGUUUGUGAUGGCAUACCUUCUGUGUAAUAUUUGUGUAAUCUCAAAAAGAUUUCUGACAAAA